AUUUUCAAGACUAGAUAAAAAGGCUACAAGGUUCAUCUGCAAGUUUCUUCAAAUGGUUGCAAUGCUUACUGCAACCUCCAUCUCCUAGGCUCCAGUGAUCCUCCUGCCUCAGCCUCCCAAAGUGCUGGGAUUACAAGCAUGAGCUACUACAUCUGUCCAAAAGCUGCAUUUCCAAGACCAGGUUUUGGCAGUUACAGGUUGCAGGGUUCUCUGGGCCCAUCCAGGAGAUGAGAG
rnacentral:lncRNA from 1 species